UUAAAUUGAAGAGUUUGAUCAUGGCUCAGAUUGAACGCUGGCGGCAGGCCUAACACAUGCAAGUCGAACGGUAACAGGAAGCAGCUUGCUGCUUCGCUGACGAGUGGCGGACGGGUGAGUAAUGUCUGGGAAACUGCCUGAUGGAGGGGGAUAACUACUGGAAACGGUAGCUAAUACCGCAUAAUGUCGCAGGACCAAAGAGGGGGACCUUCGGGCCUCUUGCCAUCAGAUGUGCCCAGAUGGGAUUAGCUUGUUGGUGAGGUAACGGCUCACCAAGGCGACGAUCCCUAGCUGGUCUGAGAGGAUGACCAGCCACACUGGAACUGAGACACGGUCCAGACUCCUACGGGAGGCAGCAGUGGGGAAUAUUGCACAAUGGGCGCAAGCCUGAUGCAGCCAUGCCGCGUGUAUGAAGAAGGCCUUCGGGUUGUAAAGUACUUUCAGCGGGGAGGAAGGGGAUAAGGCUAAUAAC
rnacentral:rRNA from 1 species